ensembl:lncRNA
GCAAUGUGCCCUCACAGCCCAGAAAGCCAUCCAUAUCCUCAGCUGCAUCAAAAGAAGCGUGGCCAGCAAGGCAAGGGAGGUGAUCCUACUCCUCUACUCUGUGUUGGCGAGGCCUCACCUGGAGUACUGCAUCCAGAUGUGGAGCCCUCAGUACAGGAGAGAUGUAGACCUGUUGGAGAGGGCCACAAAAAUGAUCCAAGGGUUGGAACACCUCUCCUAUGAGGACAGGCUGAGAGAGCUGGUGCUGUUCAGCCUGGAGAAGUGAAGAAUGCAGGGAGACCUGAGAGUGGCCUUUCGAUAUCUGAAAGGAGCUACAAUAAGAAAGUGGUGACUGGAUAAAAGGAAAAGAUUUUCAAACUGUAGGAGGGGAGAGUUAGGUUUGAUAUUAGGAAGUUUUGUUUUUUUAAAUAAGGAUGGUGAAGCACUGGCACAUGUUGCCCAGGGAUGUGGUGGAAGCCUCAACCAUGGAGACACUUGUGGUCAGGCUGGACCAGGCUUUGAGCAACCUGAUCAAGCUGUAAGCGUCCCUGUUCAUUGCAGGGAAUUGGAGUAGAUGACCUUUAAGGGUCCAUUUUGUAAGUGGCUAGCUUUGGUACCUAAAAAUGCAAUGGAGAAAUUUACUGAGCAUCUGAUCUCUUAUCUUUUCAAGUGUCAUAUAUAUAACAGCAUUUAUAAUAACUUUAAGCAAAGGCUUAACGCUUGUUGUUCAAAUAGUAAGCCAUAUAUGACCAAUCCUAAUUAUAGGUGCUAUAAGUUUCUAGCAUCUUUCAUUAAGUAAACAAUCUGUAUUUGAGAAGCUUCACUAAGCAGUAGAAUCAAACAUUUCUAACUGACUCAGGAGAUUUGGGAACGCAUGAGCAUUAGUAAAAUUCAUUAACAAGCCAAACAUUUCUCACUUUAUAAAGAGUGAAAAAUACAAUUUACUCCUCACUGCAUGAGGCUCUCUGAUCUCAGAAAGUUCACUUUUAUUGUUGGUCAGAAACUUUUUCCAACUGCCUUAAACCUUGGGAUUAGUUUUAAUCCUCCUACUUUCUCAUAAACAGCUUAAUUGUAGCUUAAUUACAAACUUUUCUAGAGAUCCAAUCUUCUGUGUUUACAAUCCAUGUCUUCAGGGAUCUCUGAUAAUGAAAACAAACAAGUACUCAAAGGAUCAAGAAAGAAAACACUUUUUAUAGUUGAUAGCUAGGAAGUCUGCCAGGAAGCAAGCAAGCAAGCAAGCAAGCAAGCAAAAUAAAUAAAUAAAUAAAUAUGAUUAUAAGGAAGGGAGGAAGCAAGCAAGGAAGGAAGUGACAAAAUGUCCUACAAAACUACCAAAUAGUUAAAAGAAUUUAUGUUUUAUUCCUGUUGUAGAUAUAUUAAUUUUAAAGAAUCACUUUGCAUGCAACAUCUCAUUAAAAUAAAAAAAAAAUCAUUAGAAAAUUUUAUUUCCUAAUCAAUUAAGCUAAAUGUUCUUUCUCUUCUGUAAAGCAGUAGAUAAUGCUUAUUUUCUUCAGUUUAAAAUCUGAAUUUGAAUGAUGCAUUCAUACAUUUGUUCUGCUUAUUUUCCAUGUCAUUCCAGCAAGGUAUUUCUAUGGUAAGGAUAAAUGAUUGCUGUGGUCUUGAUGGAUGUAGUUUCAAGACUGAUAUUAUGCUGUAGGGUUUUACGUUUCACUUGCAGCAAAUAUCAAUACUCAUUUAUAUUUGUUGUGAUUGGAGAAUCAUUUCCCCAUCCACAAAACUUUCGUAGUUAAAAAAAAAAAAAAAAAAAAAAAGAUGCUUUACAUCAUGG